GAUGAAGAACGCAGCGAAAUGCGAUAAGUAAUGUGAAUUGCAGAAUUCAGUGAAUCAUCGAAUCUUUGAACGCACCUUGUGCCCUUUGGCUAUUCCGAAGGGCAUGCCUGUUUGAGUAUCAUGAACACCUCAACUCUCAUGGUUUGCCAUGAUGAGCUUGGACUCUGGGGGUCUUGCUGGCCUAUGGUCAGCUCCUCUCAAAUAAAUCAGCUUGCCAGUGUUUGGUGGCAUCACAGGUGUGAUAACUAUCUACGCUUGUGGUUUUCCAUCAGGUAACCUUCAGUGAUGGAGGUUCGCUGGAGCUCAUAAAUGUCCCUCCUCAGCGAGGACAGCUUUUUGAACGUUUGAUCUCAAAUCAGGUAGGACUACCCGCUGAACUUAAGCAUAUCAAUAAGCGGAGGA
rnacentral:misc_RNA from 1 species